rnacentral:tRNA from 1 species
GCCUGGCUGGCUCAGUCGGUAGAGCAUGUGACUCUUGAUCUCAGGGUCGUUGAGUUCAAGCCUCACACUGGGUG